GGGGAAUUUUCCGCAAUGGGCGCAAGCCUGACGGAGCAACGCCGCGUGAGGGAUGAAGGCCUCUGGGCUGUAAACCUCUUUUCUCAAGGAAGAAGAUCUGACGGUACUUGAGGAAUAAGCCACGGCUAAUUCCGUGCCAGCAGCCGCGGUAAUACGGGAGUGGCAAGCGUUAUCCGGAAUUAUUGGGCGUAAAGCGUCCGCAGGCGGCCUUGAAAGUCUGUUGUUNNAGCGUGGAGCUUAACUCCAUUUCAGCAAUGGAAACUACAAGGCUAGAGUGUGGUAGGGGCAGAGGGAAUUCCCGGUGUAGCGGUGAAAUGCGUNNAUAUCGGGAAGAACACCAGUGGCGAAGGCGCUCUGCUGGGCCAUAACUGACGCUCAUGGACGAAAGCCAGGGGAGCGAAAGGGAUUAGAUACCCCUGUAGUC
rnacentral:rRNA from 1 species